AUUAGUAUAACGUGAGGGCUGAAUGCAGCCCGUUCUCUGCAGAACUUCCUCACACACCGCAGCAAAGAGAAGACUGAAAGACAAACCUGGGUGCAGCCGGAGAGGUCCAGAUAGAUGAGCUUGUGGCAUCCAUUCCCCAAGUUCAGACGGUGGUAAGUGCUAUGGAGAAGAAAUAAAACAAGAAAAGGGAUUGGGAGCACCCAACAAGUUGGAGGAAGUGUGAUUUAAAAUAGGGCUGAACAGGAAGUUUUCACUGAAAAGGUAAUAUUUGAGCCAAGAAAUGCAGGAGAUGAUAAGGACAGUGCCAUUUACUCCAAGCAUCUCUGGAGCCCACACCCAACAUGGUUGGUGACUGGGAGACAGAAAAGGAUAGAAAAAAAAAGCUCAGGAAGACAACCAUUCAAGUCCUACCCUUGUGUGUGCAUCUCAAGGCUGUGUUCUUUUAAAAGAAGGAGAAUUAUUUUAAUUUCUUAAAUCCGAUGUGAUGAUGAACUACAGGCUUCAGUUUUCAUCAUGCUGAGUCCUAACAUUUGUGACCACUU
rnacentral:sRNA from 1 species